AGUGAACGCUGGCGGUAGGCCUAACACAUGCAAGUCGAACGGCAGCACAGUAAGAGCUUGCUCUUACGGGUGGCGAGUGGCGGACGGGUGAGGAAUACAUCGGAAUCUACUUUUUCGUGGGGGAUAACGUAGGGAAACUUACGCUAAUACCGCAUACGACCUACGGGUGAAAGCAGUGGAUCUUCUGACCUUGCGCGAUUGAAUGAGCCGAUGUCGGAUUAGCUAGUUGGCGGGGUAAAGGCCCACCAAGGCGACGAUCCGUAGCUGGUCUGAGAGGAUGAUCAGCCACACUGGAACGGAGACACGGUCAAGAGUCCUACGGGAGGCAGCAGAGGGGAAUAUUGGACAAUGGGCGCAAGCAUGAUACAGCCAUACCGCGUGGGUGAAGAAGGCCUUCGGGUUGUAAAGCCCUUUUGUUGGGAAAGAAAAGCAGCAGGUUAAUACCACGCUGUUCUGACGGUACCCAAAGAAUAAGCACCGGCUAACUUCGUG
rnacentral:rRNA from 1 species